rnacentral:rRNA from 1 species
GGAUUAGAUACCCUAUUAUUUUAGAUAUAAAUUAUUUUAACCUAGGUAGUAUUAGUUAAGGUCUUGAAACUUAAAGAAUUUGGCGGUAUUUUAAUCUAUUUAGAGGAAUCUGUCCCUUAAUCGAUAAUCCACGUUUUACCUUACCAAAUUUAUUGUAUGUAUACCGCCGUUAUAAUGAGGAUCUUUUUAGAGUUAAAGUUAAUUUUCUUAAUUUGUUUUUAAAAUUUAUUUCAGGUCAAGGUGCAGCUUAUGAUUUGGUGGAGAUGGAUUACAUUUAUAUUUAUUAUUGAAUUAUUUAUUGGAAUUUUAAUAUGAAAUUGGAUUUAAUUGUAAUUUUUUGAAGAUUAUAAAGAUGAUAUUAGCUCUAGAAUAUGUACACAUCGCCCGUCGCUCUCAUUAUUAAUUAGUUGAGAUAAGUC